rnacentral:rRNA from 1 species
CCUACGGGAGGCAGCAGUGGGGAAUAUUGGACAAUGGGCGAAAGCCUGAUCCAGCCAUGCCGCGUGAGUGAUGAAGGCCCUAGGGUUGUAAAGCUCUUUUGUGCGGGAAGAUAAUGACGGUACCGCAAGAAUAAGCCCCGGCUAACUUCGUGC